CUGGCGGCAGGCCUAACACAUGCAAGUCGAGCGGUAGGAGAGAAGCUUGCUUCUCUUGAGAGCGGCGGACGGGUGAGUAAUACCUAGGAAUCUGCCUGAUAGUGGGGGAUAACGUUCGGAAACGGACGCUAAUACCGCAUACGUCCUACGGGAGAAAGCAGGGGACCUUCGGGCCUUGCGCUAUCUGAUGAGCCUAGGUCGGAUUAGCUAGUUGGUGAGGUAAUGGCUCACCAAGGCUACGAUCCGUAACUGGUCUGAGAGGAUGAUCAGUCACACUGGAACUGAGACACGGUCCAGACUCCUACGGGAGGCAGCAGUGGGGAAUAUUGGACAAUGGGCGAAAGCCUGAUCCAGCCAUGCCGCGUGUGUGAAGAAGGUCUUCGGAUUGUAAAGCACUUUAAGUUGGGAGGAAGGGCAGUAAAUUAAUACUUUGCUGUUUUGACGUUACCGACAGAAUAAGCACCGGCUAACUCUGUGCCAGCAGCCGCGGUAAUACAGAGGGUGCAAGCGUUAAUCGGAAUUACUGGGCGUAAAGCGCGCGUAGGUGGUUUGUUAAGUUGAAUGUGAAAUCCCCGGGCUCAACCUGGGAACUGCAUCCAAAACUGGCAAGCUAGAGUAUGGUAGGGGGUAGUGGAAUUUCCUGUGUAGCGGUGAAAUGCGUAGAUAUAGGAAGGAACACCAGUGGCGAAGGCGACUACCUGGACUGAUACUGACACUGAGGUGCGAAAGCGUGGGGAGCAAACAGGAUUAGAUACCCUGGUAGUCCACGCCGUAAACGAUGUCAACUAGCCGUUGGGAGUCUUGAACUCUUAGUGGCGCAGCUAACGCAUUAAGUUGACCGCCUGGGGAGUACGGCCGCAAGGUAAAACUCAAAUGAAUUGACGG
rnacentral:rRNA from 1 species